UCCAAUCGCCCAUCAUCACGUGCUGCAUACUAGAGCCUUUGCAGGCUGUUCGUGGACGAAGAGAACUUGCUCACUUCGCUUACUACUUUGCAAGUCAUCUGUACUCGAACAGAGGCGGUGACAUCGCACAGGCGACGGAGGGACUAGCAGAAAACAAACCCAAAUUGAUUUGGGCAUUUCGACGCGCCCGAAAUCAACAGCUGAUAUAUGGGAUAAGCGAUCCAUCGUAAUCAAUAUUUCACCCAUGCAUGUGUGCCUGAGUUUACGUCAGGUUUCUCGUAAAGCUGUAUUGAAAAUCGCAGUUGUCCGUCAGCAAAGCAGCUGGCCUGUUUCGCUUAAUCAACAUAUAUAAACAAAUAACUGACAGGUGACCACAGCUUCUACAGUGGAAGCCGUAGCGAAACGGCACUUGUAUACGAAGAGUCCUGCUUCAUGUCCAACAAGGAAAAGGGGAAACGAUUAGUUAUCCUUUAACAUUGGCCUUAGGUAUUCGAUCUGCGCAAUCUGGAGGUGCCGGCAACAAAAAAAGAAACAAAGAACACGAACUAUGUGGUCCGGCUGGCUUGUCUUGCGAGUAGCAGUUUCGAUAGGUCUGUCUAUACGACUAUGUAAGCAAGAGGAAACGGUCGGAGGCAUCCAUGCUUUCUGGACCAACGCCGUCGUUUCUCUCACUUAGAAAAAGGCCCAAGGAAUUGCGCAAUUCUUCUCCCAAGGGUCUUGAGAAAUAAUUCUGUUCGCCGCUCGAGUCGUCAGACAGGAAUGCCCUAAAUAAGCCUCGACCAAUCGCAGCUUCAAUAAGUGGCCAACAUUUCGUUCAAUGGCAUGAUGGGGCAGGUCUGCGUGCGUGAAUUCUUCUGAGAUCUCUCUAUCAACAAAAGGAAAAUCCAAAUUGCCCCCAAACGUGCCUUUCGUCGUGCCCAGUUUUACCGCACACGCGAAAGUAAGAGUAAACCAUUGGAGCUGCUUGUCAACCUGGGUCCACAUGCACGAUAUAAAUAAACCCUGUGGACACCACACAAACUUUACCGAGUGAAUCAUUUGAAGAAUUGUUUUGUGAUAGAAACUCUGUUGCGCAUUAUAUUGGACGGUUCUCAGUUGAG